AGUGAACGCUGGCGGUAGGCCUAACACAUGCAAGUCGAACGGCAGCACAGUAAGAGCUUGCUCUUACGGGUGGCGAGUGGCGGACGGGUGAGGAAUACAUCGGAAUCUACUUUUUCGUGGGGGAUAACGUAGGGAAACUUACGCUAAUACCGCAUACGACCUACGGGUGAAAGCAGGGGAUCUUCGGACCUUGCGCGAUUGAAUGAGCCGAUGUCGGAUUAGCUAGUUGGCGGGGUAAAGGCCCACCAAGGCGACGAUCCGUAGCUGGUCUGAGAGGAUGAUCAGCCACACUGGACCUGAGACACGGUCCAGCCUCCUACGGGAGGCAGCAGUGGGGAAUAUUGGACAAUGGGCGCAAGCCUGAUCCAGCCAUACCGCGUGGGUGAAGAAGGCCUUCGGGUUGUAAAGCCCUUUUGUUGGGAAAGAAAAGCAGCAGGUUAAUACCCCGCUGUUCUGACGGUACCCAAAGAAUAAGCACCGGCUAACUUCGU
rnacentral:rRNA from 1 species